GACCGAGUGCGCGAGCGGACAUGACGUGUGGCUGUCGUAAAAACCCUAUUUGUAAACAACCAGCCCUUUAACUCGGGGCUGCGUCAUAAACACGGCGCGCUUGGAAGACCACGAUGUCAUCUUCCUUCUGUCAGGAGGAUCCAAGUGAAGCUACAGGAGUUUCAUUAACGUCAACAACUUGGACCGAACGGUUUGUUUUGCUUGAUGAAGAGCAGGAAGGGCAGCCUGGAGAGAAAGAGAAGCCGGGUUGAGCCCACUACCAUCAUCCACGUACCACGAGGAAGAUGAGGGAGAGAAAUGAUCCUACCAUUAAAGAGACUGUGAAAAGAACGUUGAGAACAUCACCACUCUACAGGAAGACACAGUCCAGUAAUGGGUGUCAGAAGUUCAGUAGUGAACGACAGGUACUGUGGAAAAAUAUGUGUCAUUGUUGUACAAUGUCCUUUGACUCUGUUUAAACAAGGUUAACACAAAAAGGUUUGAUUGUAAACUGAUAUCGGUAUGAAUUCAUGUUAUUCUCCUCGUCAAAAGAAACAAACAAUCCAAAUUACCUGCAGAAAGCCCUUGAUGGACGCUUCAGCUGCAUCGUCAGACUGGCAGUACUGAUGCAUUUACUGAGAGGGGACGUGAGGGCCUACUCUGCGUGCUCAGAGUUCAAGCCCAGCAGGCUGCAGCGGGCCUGACAUAUUCUGGAACAGCAGCACAGUCUUUGGAUGACUCCUCUGAAGAUGAAAACAUGGCGAGUUCUUCUCAAGAGAAGCGGUACAGGUGUGCCUCAGCUCCACGGUCCCUCCUGCAGCCUCCGCUCCUGAUGCUAACCUCAUGUCUCCAUCACACCAAGCAGCAGACCUGGAUUGACAGACCUUUCUCCAGAGCUGCCCCCUCCCUCUGAAACCCCCCUCUCCAAAACACUAUUUGUGUAGUUUUUAAAGUAUUUUUUGCAUGAGAAUUGUUGAUCAUAACAUUUCCAGCAGAUGCCUUAAUAUA